CUCUCCACCCAGCCUGCCCAGGUAUUAAAUGCCAAAGGACCUAAGCACCACGGCAGGACUUAAUCCGCAAACCAUGUGAUCAACGGCCCAAUGAUGUACCCACUCUCCACCCAGCCUGCCCAGGUAUUAAAUGCCAAAGGACCUAAGCACCACGGCAGGACUUAAUCCGCAAACCAUGUGAUCAACGGCCCAAUGAUGUACCCACUCUCCACCCAGCCUGCCCAGGUAUUAAAUGCCAAAGGACCUAAGCACCACGGCAGGACUUAAUCCGCAAACCAUGUGAUCAACGGCCCAAUGAUGUACCCACUCUCCACCCAGCCUGCCCAGGUAUUAAAUGCCAAAGGACCUAAGCACCACGGCAGGACUUAAUCCGCAAACCAUGUGAUCAACGGCCCAAUGAUGUACCCACUCUCCACCCAGCCUGCCCAGGUAUUAAAUAGGAACCCGGUAGAAUGCAAACAUUCCUGUAGUUGGAUUGGCACCAUGUGCCCUCUUAAAACAGCACCUGGCCGGAAUACUCCUCAGGGAGCGGAGUGUGUGCACAACCAGUUGAGGAUAAGCGUUUGAAUCAAAUGACCGGGGUAAUAAUAAUUAAAAUUAAGCGCUAUACAAAUGUGAGUAUUAUUAUGGGGGCUGUUGCAGCUCCUACCCUCUUUCUGAUACCUCUGGUGACAUUUUACAAGUACUUUAUAUGCACUUUAUAUGCACUGGAAAUUCUGAGACACUCCAAAUGCGACUACCCACUAUAGUAUAGAGGCUAUAGACACGAGGUUACUUCCAGAAAUACUUGAUAUCUUUAUUACUCGAUAAAUUCAUUUGGUUUUUUCAAUAGACAUGAGAUAUGCUUUGUCUGUGCUUCAUAUAUAUAUAUAUAUAUAUAUACAAAAUAUUUACACAUCAUAUUCUAAUUAUGUUCUCCUCUGAACUACACCAUUCUAAAGUCGUAUUACACCAAACCAAAUCUAUAUAUUUGUACUUGUUGAUAAAUAAUGAUAUUAAACAGCAAACAAAAUAAUACUCUGUAAGAAGAUUUGAAAUGAAUACGUUCACCAAGGUUACUAUUUCUUGUGAACUAUCAUUUUGGUAGUUUUUUCUAAGUUAGAAACCCACUACUGUGUUGAUGCAGAUGGCCCGGUAUACUACGAAGAAUAAAUGCUUUUUUUAGUAGAACCCUCUGUAAUGUUGGAAAUGGUAAUGGAUGUUAUUAGAAGAAAGAAGGAAAAAAAAAAAUUUCAAAAAAAGGAAUUAGCCAAUAUAUCUUUUCACAUUUCAGUUACACUUGCUUCAGCAAUAGUCAUAAUUACCUUGCAGAAUGGCUGCUUAUUGAUAGAUGCUUUGAUGCUAACAAACAAGCAAAACGUUUCCAGGAAAGAAAUGUGCAUUGCAGUCAGCUCUUUGCCUGACAAACUGGUUUUUAUUCUAGGCGGUUUGAAGCUGAUGGACCCCGGGGCAAAACAAAGUCAUGUUUCUUAGACGAUGCGGAGAGAGGUCACUAAAUAGACGUUAAUGGUCAUACACGAUUAAUACAUGUCUGUAAAACCCAAUACACAUACACACUUCCUUUACAAACAAUAUGUAAAACUGUGAGUAAGAAUGAUUAUAACUAAUCCAGUGUAAAGUUUGUUGGAGGAUUAACAAUGCUAACAAUUUCAAAUCAAGUUGAAAUAGUUGAAUUACACAUAUAUUUUCAAAAGCGUUCAAUGAUUUCAGCGACUAAAUAUUAAAAUAAUAUCUUUGAAUGUGUUGAAGUGGGAAACGCCUACAUUUUGUUUUCUUUGUUAUGCAAUCACAAUCAAAUAAUACCAGUUCACAUUUCACUGGGCUUUAAAAAAAGAAUAUUUUUUUAGUCACUGCAAUACAUUUUUCGUCAUUGCCCAAAUGAAACUAUUUAAAAGUUAUCGUCUGGCUU